CUCAGAAUCCUGGGAAGUUUGGCGUCUUCGAAGGCAGCGGAGCCGGGGCGCCUCAGAGGGUUCCCGAGGGCCGUGGAGCCUGCGGAGGCUACCUCCGCCGGCUGACGCCUCAGCCUUCGCCCCGCGCGCCGGUCUCGGGCUUCACGGAAAUGAAAACAAGCCAAGAGUAAAACAAAACCAGUACAAAUCCCCAAGUCAAAGCAGCUACAAUCAAAUUCAAGGAAAGCAAAGAUUGCCGGAGACUGUCCAUGAAAUCGUCUUCAUCCUUUGCGCUACCCUCUGACCUGCUCUAGUGUAAGACCAUUCUUGGUGGGCGGGAGCAGAGGGGACAGUUAAAACCCUAAAUACCGUACGGCAGUCCUUUCCCAGUUAUUUGGGGUCAUGUAAGACACUUCCAGGAAAUGCAAUUCCCCGGCUUUAUUUUAGGUUUUUGGCGGGGGUGGUGUGUGUGGAGGAGAAUGCCAGGACGGUACAGGAGUAUUUCUUAAUCCAGAGGACAAGCCUCAGGGACACGUCGGAAACACAGACUCCCGGGCCCCACCCCAGACCUGCUGGUUGAGAAUCUGCAUUUUCACGAGAUUCCCAGCUGUUUCCAAACUGUGCCUCUGAACUUUGAGAAGCAGUGACCUGUGCAACCCCUUUCUGGCCUUCCUCAGGUGGUAUUGAUUGUCAGGAUUUGUAUGUAACGUUCACACCUCCUUGAUGUUGAAACUAGCAAUAAAAAUCCCACCUCCAAGGGAGUAAACACCUUUUGCUAAGGCCACAGCCCACAUUCUUCUGGGAAAACUCCAAGUGUGUUGCCUUCUCGAUGCCCUGGAGAGUUGCGGAGUGCUCCAAAUGGAAAUCGAAGGAGGUGGCCAACCUUUUAUUUUGCCAUCCCCUCAAAGUCCAUUCCAGGGUCAGAGCUGUCAUGGUAAAUCAUUCACCCAGGGGGGCAAGAGAGAUUCAGGACAGCGCUCUUUAAAUUCUGUUGGAAAAAAAUCCACCGUACCCCGCCUUCGCCUCUGCACCACCACAGCUGCCCUAUUUUCGGCCUCCACUGGUUCCUUUAACCUUGGUGCAUCCACCAGGGGGCCCCAGGAGGCACAGGCAGGGCCCAGGGAUUGUGACGACCCUAAUCAGGCCAACUGGGAUCAAGGACUUUGAGUGCAAUGCUGCUGAUAGAGGGAGAAGAAGAAACGACAAAAGCCCAAACAGUCGUGUCUGUCUGCGUCACCAGACACAACCACGUGUGUGCAUCAGGAUGUGUGUCAGCCCAGCCUGGGCAAAGCCCCCAUGGGGCUGCUUCCAUUAGGUCUCUGCCUGACAUCCCCAACCAGGAAGGUGUUCCCAGGUGGCCAUCUGAGCAGCAUCCCCGCUCCCCCAGGACUACCUGCACCCAAGUGAAGUGUCAUUCUUCUCUCUCCUCACAGACGUGAAAGGUGUCAUGAAGCCUUUGUGCCCGGGCACUGCAGUUCCCUCUGGGUUCUGGCAUCGGGUUCUCCUCUAUCUGUUCAGCAGCAUCAGACAAUCUCGCUGGCACCCGGCCCUGGCCUUGGCUAUAACGCUCUCAUCUGGCGUCUCUCCUCUCCCAGGGUUGGCUUCCUAAGCUCUGGUGUCAGAUCUGCAAAUCCUUCCGUGGGAGCACUUGGGACACUUAGGAUGAAGGAUGGUUAGGAGUGGCUUCUUCCUGAGCUUACAAAUAUCACCUAAUCCAUCCUGGCAACACCUGGUUUAUAAAGCAAGCAACUACAGUGGUCAUCUUCUUUCCAGAGGUUAUGGUACAUAAAGGGUCGAAAGCUCAGGCCCUGUUGCUGCAGAGGCCUGCACUCAAAUCCUGGCUUCCCAUCACUAGCUGGGUGAUUCAGCUCUAAAAUGGGGAUCCCAAGACCUCACACGAGGAUAAAUGAGAUGCUGGAUGGAAAGCACUUAGCACAGUGCCCGGCAAUUAGUGAGUGCUCAGUGAAAGUCAAAAAGUACUGUAUCUGCUAUUGAAAAAUCACAUCUCAGAAGCAGCACCACUUGCUGACAGCAUCUGCCAAGAUUUCCGAUGAGGCUGAUGGAAACUCGUUCCAUUUUCAUGCUGUAUAAUGAGCAGACAGAGUCCUCGCACAUCUGUUCAGGCGAGAUAAUGAUGAUAUUAUUACUAGAAGCAUUGUGCUGCAAAGAGAAUCUAUUUUUUUCCUCUCUCCUACCCCCUGCCUAUAUCUACCCUCACUUUCUUUCCACUCUUCUCUCUUUACUGUCCUGUGUCUCUCCGCUUCUCGUGUUUAUUUUCUUGCUCUCUCUUCCUCUUCUUUCUUUCUUUCCUCACCUCAGUGCCCCACCCAGCUUGUGGAAACCCAGGGGACAAAGUGAGGAAUUCUUCUCCUAUGGAGGAGGGGCCGCUGAGAAGGCGCUGGGGCCAGGGGCUGGCUGCCGAGAUCAGGGGAGAGGGGUCUUGGGUCCCUCCUCCGAACCCUGGGGCCGCCUGCAUUGGAGGGCCCUCUCCCAAUCCCCAGCAAGAGCCCUUCUGCCCCGUCAGAGAAACCUCUGGGCUUGCCCUGUGCCCAACCUCAUCCGCAAAGAAUCAAGCGAGACAGCAGUGUGACCAGCUCACUUCUGCCAGAGAGACAACAGAUGGAAAGGGCUUAAUGUAUUUAGCAUCCAGGAAUAUUUUGCAUCAUAACUGGACACUUUCUGGAUACGUGACUGAUUUACAAAGGGAUGAAAUUUUCACGUUGGAAUAUAGUAACAAAAAAUCAGAAUGUGGGGGUGAGUAUCAGGGUCAGGGGGAGCCUUCCUUGUGUUUCUCAAAUCAUUCAUUCAUUCAUUUUUAUCAACAGUCUAUCAGCACCUAUUCUGCAGUAGGGAAUGAGCUGGUUGCUAAGGCACACAGAUGGAAAGCUAUGGUUCCCAUCUCCCAGGGCCUUAAAUCUACCCCACGGCUAAAUUCUACCCAACCCAGAUAUAUCUUUGUUCUUGAACAUGCCUCCUGUGUGGAAGCAGGAUCCCCUUGGGGCCCCUUCACUAUGCAAUUACCUUGGGCACCAGUAUAAAGAUGGAGUGGUAUGAAUUCCCUCACGUUGAUCCAUUAAUCCAUCCGUCCAUUUGCUCAUCUACCUACCCAUCCAACCAUACACUCUUCCACCCAUGCAUCCAUCCAUCCACCCACCCUUCCACCCAUGCAUCCAUCCAUCCACCCACCCUUCCACCCAUCCCUCCAUCCAUCCACCCACCCUUCCACCCAUCCAUCCAUCCAUCCACCCACACUUCCACUCAUCCAUCAUCCUUCCAAGCAUGCAGUAGGAGGUCAAUUAACAGCUCAGUGAGGAGCGGCGCACCCCUAAACCAUUAUUGUGGUUGGGAGCUAGGCAAAGACACACCCAGUAGUUGCAUGUAGUGUUCAUGAUUGACAACUCACAAGUGAAUGGUUCCUGAAUCCUGGGCUGUGAUGUGAGAAAGAGAGAUGGGAUGAAUUUCAAGGACUGAUUACAAAGGUUCACAAGGAGCUGCUUAAAUUUAAUCAAAACAGUGUCUGCCUUUCUCCCCAGACUGGGCGAGAGCUGCUCGGGGAAGGCAGAGGCUCGUGUAAACUGUCCUUCCACAGAGUUCUUGCUAUGGAGCUUUUCCUCGCAGUGAUGCGCACUGCAUCACAGAGGUGCCAUUCCGAUAGUUCUUGCUUUCUUCUUAAACAAACUAAGGCUAAGUUCCCCAGAGAGUUUCCAUUGAAAGAUGCCCCCCAAAUUGGAGAACUCGGUGGAAAUCAAGAUCUGAAAUCAUUCCUUUGCUCCCCAAAUGUUGUAUUCCAGUAUUUUCCUGGUUGCAGGAAUUCUGACUGAAAUGUACUCAUUUCUUUUCUUUUCUUUUUUUUUGGCCGAGCCGUGCAGCACGUGGGACCUUAGUUCCCCAACCAGGGAUCAAAACCACACCCCCUGCAUUGGAAGCACGGAGUCUUAACCACUGCAUCGCCAGGGAAGUCCCCAGAAAUGUACUCAUUUCUAAUGUUAACUUGAGUUGUGUCUUUUUUUAAAAAUGCCCCCCACUUCCCUUCUGAAUGUCAGGUGGCACACUCAUUAGUCGUCUGGAAUAAGUCUGUCUCCAGCUGAAUGUGACUUGGAAAGAGGAAAUAGGGGGCAGUGGUUAGAGCCCUGAGAGGUCAGGAGUCCUGGUUCCCAUGUCUUACUCUGCCACUGAGUCACUUGCUGCCACUGGACAAGCGACUUGGUUUUUCUGAGUUACCGCCUAACUGCCGAAGAUCGUGCAAUGCCUUCAUGCGUGCCCCCAGGGCUGACUGCUUCCACUGCCCUGACCUUAGUAUACCACUGAUUCCACUAAACUGCUGUGGUAUCAGAGGCAAGAAUGUUGUGCCUGAUAUGACAUGCUGGACCGACAUGCUGGAGCACCAACACUACACUUUGUCAAGCUGCAGCUCCAUCAGCGAGACACUUCAACAGUGACUGGAGAACUUGCUGCUACCUGAGAGGUGUGCACAGGUGCUAUGUGACCCCUCCAGCCUAAGUGCCCUGAAGACAGCUUUGUGAAGGAAGAGGUACACACCCUUUAUCUUCAAGGAUAGUUACCUUAUAGGCAAAGGGACAUAGCACAAGGGCCUUGUGAGAGGAACAAAGACACAGAGAUUGGAAACUGCAGGGUCUGUUCUGGAAAGAGGGGCUACUCCAAUUUAGUUAAGCAUUGGUGUUUCAGAAUUAUCAGCUGCCAUGAUGGGACAGGUGGGGAGAGACAGAUGGUGCUUACUUGAUCAGUGCCAUGCUCUAGGAAGCCUGAAAGGCUCCAGUUUGGGUGGGCAGAGGGGACCCUGUGCUGAUCUCUAGCCUGAGUCCUGUUUCAGCUACCUGCUAAUUAUGUGGCCCUUUGUCUUUCAUGAGUCUCAGAACAGCUAUAAGAAGGGGUUGGUAAUCACUGUCUUUCCUCCCUCACAGGGUAACUGUAAAGCACAAUAUAAACAUGAAAGGUUAUUAUCUCCUCCACGUCCAGACCUAACUAUAGAUUCACCCAUCUUAGGUUGUUGCCCCAGCCUCAGAGGAGUGACCCUCAUGCCUCCUCCUUGGUUUCAUCCAUGAUCUCCCAUAUUUCUAGUAUUUUAAGUAUUUCCCUCUCCCUCUCCUGAGUGUUUUUUCUCUGUCUCCAAAUAUGCUCUGAUCUUAAAAAAUAAAGAUCCUUCCUUGGAUCUUCUGUAUCUCCUAAGGCACUAUCCAUUUCCCUUGUUCUCACCAAACUUCUUAAAAGAAUAGACUAUUUUCUCACCUUUUCUCAUCUUCUACCCACUGUUAACUAUGCCUCCUCCAAUGUCCAAUUAAGAGUGGGCCCUCAGAACUCUCCUACAGUGUUGGUGGGAAUGUAAAUUGAUACAACCACUGUGGAGAACAGUAUGGAGGUUCCUUAAAAAACUAGAAAUAGAGUUACCAUAUGAUCCA